UUGUUGUCGGUAGCCCCAGUAUGGACUGAAAACUAUGUUUUUCGUUUGCGCCAAGUUUUCAUCAAGUUUAAAAACAGAUUUAUCUCAAAUUAGUCUUAAUUUAUCUUUGUACUAAGAAACAAAUAAACAAUCGGUACAGUAUUAAUGAUUUUUUCUCUAGAAGAUCGCCAACCCUAAAGAUGAAAAAAGAAUGCUCAGUUUGGUUGGCACGCUUCAGUAAAGAGAUCUUCAGACUCUCCGACAUUUCCCUCACGUCAGCAAAGGGUUUGGAAGAAGCAGCACUUGGAUGCUGUCAUGUCCAAGAGCUUUAUCUUUGAUUCAUUCUCUGCUGAGAUGAGCCUAAUUGUUACAGUCAUGGUCUAUUGGCUUCUUUUCGUUUCCAUACCGACCUGGAUAGUGGUUGCCCUGGUAACAGUCUUAUUCUUCUCAGCUUUUAUAGAGAUGUUACGACCCUGCGGUGCAGCCCCAACAAUGUAUUAUAAAGAUUCCGCUUUCUCACGUUUCCUGUUGAAGAAUAUCCCUCGGUUAAGCAUUCCUUAUAAGCCGCCAUGUUGGGCUAAAAAUCCAAAUAUUCAAACGCUCGUGAAAACUUAUAUUAUCGAUCAGGGCGAGACCAGAUUCGAGCGUCAUUUUCUCCAGCUGAAGGACCGCGGAGUGGUAGCCUUAGAUUGGGCAUUAGCGCAAGGGUCAACCUCCAUAAUGAGGAAAUCUCGUCCAGUGGUCAUUUUGUUGCCAGACUUGAUGACGGAUGCCCGAAAUCUUAUGUACACGUGCCAAAAAUCCUUACAACAAGGAUUUCGACCAAUGGUUUUUAAUCGUCGGGGUCACGGCAACAGCCCAUUGACCACUCCCAAACUGCAAUCCUAUGGUGAUCCCUCCGACUUACGUCAAGUGGUCAAGUACAUUCGGAGCAAACUUCCGAACGCCCGUGUGACAGCUAUCGGAUAUGGUGCUGGCGCCGACCUUCUUUUGGCUUACCUGGGAGAGUUUGGUUCUUCAGCGUACCUAGCGGCCGGAGUAGCUGUCUCGCCUCUGUUUGAUCCCGAGCGUCUUUACACAGGAUCCAUGCCGCAACCGUAUGAGGUUCUUGGUCUCUUAGCUAGUAAGCGGCUGGUGGCUUCUCACGGAGAAGGACUAAAAAAGACGGUUGACGUUCAGCAAGCUUUGAGCUGCCAUAAAUUAGCAGACUUAGAACGACACGUCUACUGGAAGAUGGCUGGCUGCGAUAAUUCUGAGCAAUACUGGGAGAAGAACGCCCCCUUGCGUGAUGCUGACGAUAUCUCCACACCAGUUUUGUGCAUCACCAGUCAUGAUGACCCUUUGGUAGUGGAUGAGGCGAUCCCGUAUGACGUGUUCCAAGUCUAUCCUCAAAUGUUAUUAGUCACUACGAAUUACGGUGGUCAUUGUGGGUUUUUGGAAUGGGGUCCAGACGGUCUGCGCUCCUGGGCUGAUUUAAUAGCAUUGGAUUUCGUAGAGUCUGUCUUGGAGUUCUCUUCAAAAGAGGAACGUAGACUGAAAUCAGCGACGAGAUAGAACUCAACAGUCGACCUUUGGCUUCUACUUGUCUUCAAUGCUAAGAAUGAAAUCUUGUGGACUUCACUAAAAAUCUCAACCAGUCGCAGUUUAAAGAACCACAUCUGUGAUGUUUAAAAAAGAUGUAUUACUUUCUCAUUGUGAAGUUAGUGUUAAGUGUACAAUUUGAGCUUAAGUUCAAUAGUUAUCAUACACUUAUAUGUCCAUCGACCUAUCAGGUGACCUCAACUAAUCACUUACACUUUACAGUAUGUGUAGUCAAUGUUUGGAAUUAUUAUGAGUUAUAUAUUUACAGAAUGUGCGGUUUGUGUCUGGUGUUAUUAUGAGUUAUGUAUUUACAGAAGGUGUGGUCAGUGUCUGGGGUUAUUACGAGUUAUGUAUUCACAGAAGAUGUGGUCAGUGUCUGAUGUUAUUAUAAGUCAUGUAUUUACAGAAGGUGUGCUCAGUGUCUGGGAUUAUUAUUAUUGCUGGGAAAUACUAUACUUUUCAGUGAACGCGAUCAAUACUUUGGUAUAAAGCAAGAUAACAUCAAGAUUUUUCCAGAACUGACAGGCUUCAAAGUUUUCAAGAUUGCAGGCGUUUAGGUUGCAUAGCAUUUAAUUGUCAGUUUAAAUAUUCAUUUCUCAAGUCACCGAAGGAAUUUAAUUCUAUGUAGAGUAAUUACUAAAAACAGAUUAUAUUAAAGAACUUGUCUAGAAUCAUUUUAACAUCUACGUCCUUCAUUAUACAAAGUAGAGUAAUUCAAGAUCGCAGACGCUAGUUCCAGGCUGCCAAAACUUUAUUAUCAAAUAAGCAACUAAGACACUGAACUAAUCUGUAUACUUAUGAUAAAAUAUUACCAUCAAUGACGGUAUUUCUUACUUUUUAAUCUGGGGUGUCAUGGUUUGAGAUUCUUCUAACCACGUUUGAACCGGUUCGUAACCGAUUUAUGAGUGUAUGAAGUUCCAGAACUUUCGAUGUUGUGUUGUGGAGCUGAUAAACAGGAUGAAUUAAACCCACGUUUUCCUUUAUGUUUAGUUUUAAUUGUUCACUCGUGUAUUAAAGGGCAAAGGUAUAAUUAAAUCAGUCCUCUAUGUAAGAACAAAAUGGACGACAUUUUAAAAUCAUCAACUCGGAAGUAGAUCAAUGCGCAUGCUCUGUUUCUGUAUUUCCUUGCACCCUUGUGAAGCACCUGUAUUACUACGACAGUAAUCGAAUAUCAACGUACGCAACGCGCGGCGAUAUAACUAAAACUAGCUACAAAUUAAACCAAGAAACAACAGAGGGUAUGAAAGUUUUAAACAGUUUAGAGGCCUCGUAUCGCACCGUAAUUGAGUAAUCGUGACGCCAUAUAAGUAACUUAUCAUAUUAGUUGGAUAGCUUUACAACAGUUUAACAGAAUAUAUAUGUGACGUUGUAGAUUAAAAGAUACACGUAUUUAAAACAAUAAGUCUGCUGAUGUUAGGCUAGUCACGUAUACAGCUGUUUCGGUAUGACGGCAAAGAAUCCAAGUUCCAAGAACAACAUUCUAUCAUUGUUGUAAUAUAACCAGUAUGUCUGCAGUGGCAUUGUAGCAUUGGUGUAAUACCACUAAUAAGUCUGAAGCGACAUUGUAGCAUUGUUGUAAUACCACCAGAUGUCUGAAGUGACACUGUAGCAUUGUUGUAAUACCACUAAUAAAUCUGAAGUGACAUUGUAGCAUUGUUGUAAUACCACUAAUAAAUCUGAAGUGACAUUGUAGCAUUGUUGUAAUACCACUAAUAAGUCUGAAGCGACAUUGUAGCAUUGUUGUAAUACCACUAAUAAGUCUGAAGCGACAUUGUAUCAUUGUUGUAAUAUAACCAGUAUGUCUGCAGUGGCAUUGUAGCAUUGUUGUAAUACCACUAAUAAAUCUGAAGUGGCAUUGUAGCAUUGUUGUAAUACCACUAAUAAAUCUGAAGUGACAUUGUUGCAUUGUUGUAAUACCACUAAUAAAUCUGAAGUGACAUUGUUGCAUUGUUGUAAUACCACCAGUAUGUCUGAAGUGACACUGUAGCAUUGUUGUAAUACCACUAAUAAAUCUGAAGUGAC
rnacentral:misc_RNA from 1 species